AUGGGGACGGGUGACCCCCAUACCAAUCCAGAAGUCACUACUGCUGCGGACUCCUUUCCUCCAUCGGUUGUUGCUGAAAGAUUUCAAUCAGAGAUCCUUCUACAAGAAUCUGGAGGAGAUGUUAAAAGACCCGGAGAGUCUCUCCGUCUGUCUUGUCAAGGCUCUGGCUUCUCUUUCAGCAGCUAUCAGAUGAAUUGGGUGAGACAAGCUCCUGGAAAAGGAUUGGAAUGGAUUGCCUUUAUCGAUAUCACUACUAUAUACUAUGCUAACUCCGUUAAGGGUCGAUUCACCAUCUCCAGAGACAAUUCCAUUAGCAUGCUCUUCCUGCAAAUGAAUGACCUGAAGGAGGGAGACACAGCCUUGUACUACUGUGCUAGAGACACAGUGACUGAAAAACUAGUAUGUGACAAAACAAAAACUUGA